GAAGGAUAUGGCUUAGAGCUCUUCCUCAUGGCUACACCUCUCAGGAAUGUUUCCAGACUGCCUUGUAGAGAUGGAUGGUAGACACCCAGAGCCAGAGGAAGGAAUUAUUAAGCCUGAUUAUCUCCAAAGCACCUGCCAGCUUGGACAUUCUAUGAAACAAGUGAGAUCACGAAAGAUGUGAAACAUGUUAGAGUGAAGGUUUGCAUACGGGAUAGAGCAAGGGUCACAGAACACUCUGCUGCGGAGGUAAGCUGCGACCGUCUAGCCUUCUGGGAGUGUGCGAAGCCCCUCAACCACAAGGAUCCAGACUGGGAGCAAGAUGUUGUGUCUGAACACCCUCAGGACAGAGAACCAGAAUCUCUGCUGAGUUCCUGUCACCACCCCCGCCCCCUGCUUUUACCUGUGUCACCCAAACUCUCUGGGGAUGGCAACACCUACCUCACAUAUUACUGUGAUGAUUAAAUGUGAAAACACAUAUGAAAGGUCUUUGUAAACUCUGAAGUGCUUUAUACAUGGAAAAUAGAAUUAAUAUUCAUGAAAGAGGAAGAAAUAGAAGGGUACCUUAAAGGAUAGAUAGGCACUACCUAAGUGGGUGUCAGACACUAAAGUACAUACUUCAUAAAAAUCAAUCAUUUAGUCCUCCUGACAUGAGAUAGGAGUUAUUAUUUUUCCCAUUCUACA
rnacentral:lncRNA from 1 species